UACGGAGGGUGCGAGCGUUGUCCGGAAUCACUGGGCGUAAAGGGCGCGUAGGUGGCCUGUGGAAGUCUGCGGUGGAAGCCCGGCGCUCAACGCCGGGGUCGGCCGUGGAUACUCUCGGGCUUGAGCUUACUAGAGGCAGAUGGAAUUCCGGGUGUAGCGGUGGAAUGCGUAGAGAUCCGGAGGAACACCGGUGGCGAAGGCGGUCGCUGGG
rnacentral:rRNA from 1 species